rnacentral:rRNA from 1 species
AGAUUGAACGCUGGCGGCAUGCCUAACACAUGCAAGUCGAACGGGAGUAGCAAUACUCUAGUGGCGGACGGGUGAGGAAUACGUAGGAAUUUGCCCUUAAGUGGGGGAUAACCCGGGGAAACCCGGAUUAAUACCGCAUGACCUCGAAAGAGCAAAGUGGGGGAUCGCAAGACCUCACGCUUUUGGAGAAGCCUACGUCGGAUUAGCUAGUUGGUGAGGUAAUGGCUCACCAAGGCGACGAUCCGUAACUGGUCUGAGAGGAUGAUCAGUCACACCGGAACUGAGACACGGUCCGGACUCCUACGGGAGGCAGCAGUGGGGAAUAGUUGGACAAGUGGGCGCAAGCCUGAUCCAGCAAUGCCGCGUGUGUGAAGAAGGCCGUUCGGUUGUAAAGCUAACGUUUAAGUUAGGGAAGAAAAACUCGACGUACUAACACAGUGUAGUCGUUGACGGUACCGACAGAAUAAGACACCGACUAAC